UUGCCAGCCAACCCAACAUCAGUCACCUGCCAGCCACCCAACCACAACCUGCCAGCCAACCCACCCCAGUCACCUGCCAGCCAACCCAACCCCAGUCACCUGCCAGCCCACCCAACCCGAAGUCACCCUGCCAGCCAACCCAACCCCAGUCACUGCCAACCUCACAUGCCAGCCAACCCAACCCCAGUCACCUGCCAGCCAACCCAACCCCAGUCACCUGCCAGCCACCCAACCUCCUCAGCCACCAACCCCGUCCAACCAGCCAACCACAAGUCACUGCCAGCCACACAACCCCAGUCACUGCCAGCCAACCCAACCCCAGUCACCUGCCAGCCAACCCAACCCCAGUCACCUGCCAGCCAACCCAACCCAGUCAACCUGCCAGCCAACCCACCCAAGAACCGCAGCAAACCAACCCCAGUCACCUGCCAGCCAACCCAGACGCACUCUCACGCCCAACUAGGACUAGAUGCACUCAAGCCCAACUAAGGGUAGACUACUGAAGUUGAAGCAGAGAACUCUGACGUGUGAAUAAUAUGUAAAAUAAUUUAUUUUAAUAGAAUAGGUAGGGUAACACAUACAAAGAAGAGAGAUUCAUGUUUACAAAUAAUCUGUAGGACAAUAAAAACCAUUUAAAUCCAAAUGUUGUCUGUCUGACCUCCCACAGCAUGAAAACAAUAGACAACGCCGCAUGACUCGUCAACCCCGCGGAACCCAGCCCUCUACCUACCUGGUACCUACUACCAUCAGAACCCAGGGGAACCCAGCCCCCUACCUGUUACACAACUACCAUCAGGACCCAGGGGAACCCAGCCCUCUACCUGGUACCUACUACCAUCAGGACCCAGGGGAACCCAGCCCCCUACCUGAUACCAACUACCAUCAGGACCCAGGGGAACCCAGCCCUCUACCUGGUACCUACUACCAUCAGAACCCAGGGGAACCAGCCCUCUACCUGGUACCUACUACCAUCAGGACCCAGGGGAAACCCAGCCCCUCUACCUGGUACCUACUACCAUCAGAACCCAGGGACCCAGCCCUCACCUGGUACCUAAACCAUACCAUCAGGACCCAGGGAACCCAGCCCUACCUACCUGGUACCUACUACCAUCAGGACCCAGGGGAACCCAGCUCUCUACCUGGUACCUACUACCACAGGACCCAGGGGAACCCAGCCUCUACCUGGUACCUACUACCAUACCAGGACCCGGGGAACCCCCCCUCUACCUGGUACCUACUAUACCAUCAGGACCCAGGGGAACCCAGCCCUCUACCUAGUACCUACUACCAUCAGGACCCAGGGGAACCCAGCCCUCUACCUGGUACCUACUACCAUCAGGACCCAGGGGAACCACGCCUCUACCUGGUACCCCACUA
rnacentral:lncRNA from 1 species